UACGUAGGGUGCAAGCGUUAAUCGGAAUUACUGGGCGUAAAGCGUGCGCAGGCGGCUUUGCAAGACAGAUGUGAAAUCCCCGGGCUCAACCUGGGAACUGCAUUUGUAACUGCAUGGCUGGAGUGCGGCAGAGGGGGAUGGAAUUCCGCGUGUAGCAGUGAAAUGCGUAGAUAUGCGGAGGAACACCGAUGGCGAAGGCAAUCCCCUGGGCCUGCACUGACGCUCAUGCACGAAAGCGUGGGGAGCAAACAGG
rnacentral:rRNA from 1 species